rnacentral:rRNA from 1 species
UACGAAGGGGGCUAGCGUUGUUCGGAUUUACUGGGCGUAAAGCGCACGUAGGCGGAUCGUUAAGUCGGGGGUGAAAUCCUGGAGCUCAACUCCAGAACUGCCUCCGAUACUGGCGAUCUUGAGUCCGGAAGAGGUGAGUGGAACUCCUAGUGUAGAGGUGGAAUUCGUAGAUAUUAGGAAGAACACCAGUGGCGAAGGCGGCGACCUGGGCCAAUAUUGACGCUGAGGUGCGAAAGCGUGGGGAGCAAACAGG